GACAGAGGUGCCAAGCGUUAGGCGGAAUCACUGGGCUUAAAGCGUGUGUAGGCGGGUGCCUAAGUACCUUGUGAAAUCCCCGGGCUCAACUUGGGAACUGCAUUUGUGACUGCAUCGCUGGAGUGCGGCAGAGGGGGAUGGAAUUCCGCGUGUAGCAGUGAAAUGCGUAGAUAUGCGGAGGAACACCGAUGGCGAAGGCAAUCCCCUGGGCCUGCACUGACGCUCAUGCACGAAAGCGUGGGGAGCAAACAGG
rnacentral:rRNA from 1 species